rnacentral:rRNA from 1 species
UGGGGAAUUUUGGACAAUGGGGGAAACCCUGAUCCAGCCAUCCCGCGUGUGCGAUGAAGGCCUUCGGGUUGUAAAGCACUUUUGGCAGGAAAGAAACGUCGUGGGUUAAUACCCCGCGAAACUGACGGUACCUGCAGAAUAAGCACCGGCUAACUACGUGCCAGCAGCCGCGGUAAUACGUAGGGUGCAAGCGUUAAUCGGAAUUACUGGGCGUAAAGCGUGCGCAGGCGGUUCGGAAAGAAAGAUGUGAAAUCCCAGAGCUUAACUUUGGAACUGCAUUUUUAACUACCGGGCUAGAGUGUGUCAGAGGGAGGUGGAAUUCCGCGUGUAGCAGUGAAAUGCGUAGAUAUGCGGAGGAACACCGAUGGCGAAGGCAGCCUCCUGGGAUAACACUGACGCUCAUGCACGAAAGCGUGGGGAGCAAACAGGAUUAGAUACCCU